rnacentral:lncRNA from 1 species
CAGGAAGCCCACAUUCUCCCAAGGGAAGGCGACUCAUAGCUAAUGUCUGAGGGUGAUCUGAGCACUCUUCACCACCCCGUCAGCCCUUAGCUUUCGUCUCAUCUCCUUGCCAACAGCACAUAAGUGUGAGUGACUCCUUACUGCCGUCCAGGCAGCCUGGGGGCUACGAGGGGCUUCAGAGGUCCUCAUCCCCAGCCUGUAGGCCUGGCCAUACUGGACCCAUGAGAUCAGCCACCCUGUCAGCUGGUACCUCGGGGUCCUACAGUCCUCCUCGCUCAAGCCCUGGUCCUCUAACUCGGAGGUGAUGAGGUGUUGGGCUGGAAGAGACAGGCAGCCAGACUCUUCUUUAAGCAUCCCCAUCCCACCUUGGUAUCCUAGUCCCUCUGCUACUCCCGUGCUUGCCUUCCUGGGACAGUGAUAGUUGCAGUUCCUGCUGACUUGGAGUGCCCCUCCGCUCUGUGUCCUGUGAGAAAGCGGAUGAUUCCAAUGUACAGCCAAUGAUGAGCAGCUGCUGGGCUGAAGGGACUGGGGCCAUUUUAUACCAGUUGUAGGAUGUUACACAGAAAUGCCUGAAAAGCAAGGAGCAGCUAUCAGAAUGUUUGGUGACACAGCUCCUCCUGUCGUGGUUCCUUCGGCAUGGACUUCACAUUCAGCAGAUCCAUGAGGUGUUCCCUUUCGGAUGAGCUCCAAGGUCUUAAGAGAGCAUCUCUAGUCUGCGUGAGUCCGUCUGAACGACGGUCCUGAGCAAGAACCACCUAUAACCAUCUGCUCAAAAUAACUCAGGGGAAGUCAAAGCUUUCUAUGUGGAAGGUGACUGAAACCACAUACACAGACCACUGCAGCAUUCCUGACAUUAUGGAACUUGGAAAUGAUUCCAAACAUGGCCAUAGCUUGAGUAACAUGUUUUGCUAUGACAAGAACUUGGACUGUAGUCCUUCCCCCUCUCAAGAAUGUGACAUCACACCUUAUCAGAUCCUACGAGUGAGCUACUGACCUCAACCACUGAACUUCAAACUAUGUAAAAACCUAAGGGUUCGACAGACACUUUGAGAGCUUGGGCUGUGGCAAGCUACACUCUGUCAGCCUCUCUUCGACAGGGCCCCACCCUGCUAGCCUUUGAACUUGGAAGCAUCGCCCACAAACACCAGUGCCACCCUCUAGCCUUGAGGGACCAUAUAUGUCUCUGUGAAUCUCCGUUGCAUUGGACAGCUUCUCUCCCAAGAGCUGCUCUUAUAAAAGAGACACACCACAUUUUAAUGAGGCUUCGCUCUCCACAGAGGCCUGCUUCCAUCCUAAUUGAGCAAGUAGACUUUAGUAACUUUGGAACUCACUCACCCCGUGACUAAUACACCCUGUCUACCCAGCGCAUUCCCUGUGAGAUUUGUUCAUGUUGUUCUCCCCCUCCUUAAGCAUUGUGAACCUAGGAAAAAUAUCAUCUCUGUAGGGCAAUAAACCAUGUGAUUUGUGAAAUC